rnacentral:rRNA from 1 species
UACGAAGGGGGCGAGCGUUGUUCGGAUUUACUGGGCGUAAAGGGCGCGUAGGCGGCCCUCCUUGUCGCGUGUGAAAGCCCUGGGCUCAACCUAGGAAGUGCACUCGAAACUGCAGAACUGGAGUCCUGGAGAGGAAGGCGGAAUUCUCGGUGUAGAGGUGAAAUUCGUAGAUAUCGAGAGGAACACCGGUGGCGAAGGCGGCCUUCUGGACAGUGACUGACGCUGAGACGCGAAAGCGUGGGGAGCAAACAGG